GGGGCGGUGGCGGAACUGGCAGACGCAGGGGACUUAAAAUCCUCCGAGGUUUAUCCCUCUUGUGGGUUCGAUUCCCACCCGCCCCA
rnacentral:tRNA from 1 species